GAAAGCCGUGUGCGGGAAAACUGCAUGCACGGUUUGAUGAGGGAGGGCAGGCGAAAACCUGUUCUCUACUCUAC
rfam:Candidatus Accumulibacter sp. BA-93 contig000008, whole genome shotgun sequence.